AACGAACGCUGGCGGCAUGCCUAAUACAUGCAAGUCGAACGAUCACUUCGGUGGUAGUGGCGCACGGGUGCGUAACGCGUGGGAAUCUGCCCUUGGGUUCGGAAUAACGUCGGGAAACUGACGCUAAUACCGGAUGAUGACGUAAGUCCAAAGAUUUAUCGCCCAGGGAUGAGCCCGCGUAGGAUUAGCUAGUUGGUGGGGGAAAGGCCUACCAAGGCGACGAUCCUUAGCUGGUCUGAGAGGAUGAUCAGCCACACUGGGACUGAGACACGUCCCAGACUCCUACGGGAGGCAGCAGUAGGGAAUAUUGGACAGUGGGGGCAACCCUGAUCCAGCAAUGCCGCGUGAGUGAUGAAGGCCUUAGGGUUGUAAAGCUCUUUUACCCGGGAUGAUAAUGACAGUACCGGGAGAAUAAGCCCCGGCUAACUCCGUGCCAGCCGCCGCCGUAA
rnacentral:rRNA from 1 species